rnacentral:lncRNA from 1 species
AGCGCAAUGUCUUGCAUCCAGGUGCAACCAUCACGGGCACUAGAGUGAGCUGAAGGGUGCGCCCUGUGCUCCUGAGUUUGAGAAGAGAUCUAUGGAUUGCAUGGCCUCUCCAGCCCCGGAGACUGGGCCCAGAUACGUGUUUCAGAGGGUCCGUCAUGGGGAGUGGGAAGAGCCUACCUGCAAAUCAGCCGGUGCUUGGACUGGAAACCAAGAGAGCAUUCACCCCACCUCCACUGCCCAGACUGGUACCAGCUUCCCACAAUAAAUGGAAUCAUUAUGUGCUGCUGACACGUACUAAGAAACAAG